ensembl:lncRNA
GUUGGUUAUAGAUUAUUUGCAUUGACAUUUCUUGGAGUAGUCAUGGAGGGAUUUCAGAGAAACCCACAGGAGAUCACCUGGAAUCUACACUGAACUGGCAUUCAGUACCAAUAGGGGCCCAUUGAGCACCCCCAGAUCACUGCAUUCUUCAGGUGACCCUGUUUCUAAGGAGCUCUAUUCAAAUGACUGAAAAGAGCUCCUAGACCUUAAGGAUCAUGAACUAUAACCUGGAGAAUUUAUUUAUCUGAAGAAGCAUCAAAUAAAAGACUCUUUACAGCCUAGGUGGAAAGGACCACACCAGGACGAGAAGAAGAUGGCAUCUGCUGUAGACAGCUGUCCCAAGACUCCAGACCAGGCCUGUAUUCCCAAACUUAUAUUCCCUCAUUUAAACCUUUGUCAUGCUUAAACUGCAUACCCAUUUUAUACUUGUUCCAUUUCAGGUUUUGGAAUACUAUCAUACUUAAAGAAAGCGAUUGACUUGGAACAGACUGGUCUUGAAGGCCAGUGAUUUAUCAAGUGGCUCCAAAUGGAACUCAAUGGUUAUGUGGAACAAACCUCUGUCCUUGGCUGCCGCCUGGAUGGCUAAAACACUACACCUGAGCUUCCUUUAAAAGCAGGAAAGGAUUCACAUUGAGCUAAUACCUGUUGCCAACCUCCCUCUCUUUAAGGCCAGAUGGGCUCAUUCAGUGUUCCACUGGUAUGGCCACCAAGCGGCUAUAUUUUCUCUUUCUUUGGGGCUAAAAGAUGUCAUUAUCACAUGUAGAAGCCCUGACUAAAUUUAAUGAAGACCUUAAUGCUAGUCAAGCAGGAAUAGCCUUACUAAAUACUGAAAUGUCUUUAAUGAAAGAGACUAUCCUUCAAAACAGAAUGGCUUUAGAUAUUUUAACUGCAUUCCAAGGUGGUACAUAUGCACGCACUCAAACCAAAGGCUGUGCUUUAAUAUGUGAUGAAUCUUCCAAUGUGUCAUCCCUGCUAAAGCACACGAAGAAACAGGUGGAUGCCUUAUGCAAGCCCACACCCAGUCUUGAUUUGUUUGGUUGGCUCCCUUCCAGUAUUGGUUCCCUUUUUUGAUCCAGAUUGCAAUUCUUAUUUCUAUUACUUCUUGGAAUUCUUGUACUAGUCACAGUAUUCAAACUAGUUGUUUUCUUUACUCGGUGUUGUAAGACUGGCACACAAGCUAGAGUAAUGGUUACUUGGUGACUUGAGAUGGUGGAGCGAUCUUAUAACCCUGAACAAAUUUCCUUUUCUGAUAAGGACUAUGCCUAAGAAUUCAUUUUAGACUAAUCUUUUCAAAUAUAUGUUGAAUUAUUAUUAUUUUUACUGUACUAUUUCUGUGAUCAUAUACAAUGUAAACAUGAAGAGUCAUAGAAAAGCACAUGUACAAUGUUUGUGCAACAAUUUAAAAUUAAUUGAAAAUAUACAACCUAUGAAAUGCUUCCUCUAUUAAAAUAUAUACCACUGUGCUCGUCCACUAUAUCUGACUGUUCCUCCCCAAAGUGGACAACUGGGCAAAUAAAUGAGAUAAAAGCAUAGCACCGAGGGACAUGAUGGACCCAGGGCAGGCGGCAGCCACACUGGCCAUGAGGGACAAUAUUUUGAUCAUCAAUGCUUUCUAUCAAAAGCUUAUAGAUCAAAAGGAGAAAAAUGACAAACAAAUGGCAGGAAAUAGG